rnacentral:rRNA from 1 species
UACGUAGGGUGCAAGCGUUGUCCGGAAUUACUGGGGGUAAAGCGCACGUAGGCGGAUUUGUAAGUCAGGGGUGAAAUCCCGGGGCUCAACCUCGGAACUGCCUUUGAUACUGCAAAUCUCGAGUCCGGAAGAGGUGAGUGGAAUUCCUAGUGUAGAGGUGAAAUUCGUAGAUAUUAGGAAGAAACACCAGUGGCGAGGGCGGCUCACUGGUCCGGUACUGACGCUGAGGUGCGAAAGCGUGGGGAGCAAACAGG